AACGAACGCUGGCGGCGCGCCUAAUACAUGCAAGUCGAGCGAGAAGACGUAGCAAUACGUUUGUAAAGCGGCGAACGGGUGAGGAAUACAUGGGUAACCUACCCUCGAGUGGGGAAUAGCUAGCCGAAAGGUUAGCUAAUACCGCGUACGCUCCUUGGACUUCGGUUCAGGGAGGAAAGCGAUACCGUGGGUAUCGCGCUCUUGGAUGGGCUCAUGUCCUAUCAGCUUGUUGGGAGGUAACGGCUCACCAAGGCUUCGACGGGUAGCUGGUCUGAGAGGACGAUCAGCCACACUGGCACUGCGACACGGGCCAGACUCCUACGGGAGGCAGCAGUAAGGAAUAUUGCGCAAUGGGCGAAAGCCUGACGCAGCGACGCCGCGUGGGGGAUGAAGGUCCUCGGAUUGUAAACCCCUUUCGGGAGGGAAGAUGGAACGAGCAAUCGUUCGGACGGUACCUCCAG
rnacentral:rRNA from 1 species